rnacentral:rRNA from 1 species
UACGGGGGGGGGCAAGCGUUGUUCGGAAUUACUGGGCGUAAAGGGCGCGUAGGCGGCCGCUUGCGUCGGAUGUGAAAGCCCGGGGCUCAACCCCGGAACGGCAUCCGAUACGGGGCGGCUCGAGACCGAGAGAGGUGAGUGGAAUACCCAGUGUAGAGGUGAAAUUCGUAGAUAUUGGGUGGAACACCGGUGGCGAAAGCGGCUCACUGGCUCGGUUCUGACGCUGAGGCGCGAAAGCGUGGGGAGCAAACAGG